UAAACGCGUAGCGUUCUCUCGACGCCAAAAAUAAUUAAGCAAAUUCCCCCUUUAAAUUUAGGCUCUCGUCGUCUCGUUUACUCGUCUCAUCCUCAUUCGCCCUCCUCUUCAUUGUUGCAGAGAGCUAAUUUAGGGCUUCAUUUUCUCAUUUUUAGGGUUUUUUUUUCAAUCCUUUGUUCCGUCGCAGGUUUGGGUUUAUGUUAAAAUUGAGAGGGAUCGUACACUCGGGAUGGCAUUUGGGUUUUUACUGUUGAAGGAAAAAAUUGGACUGCGGGAAGCUAUUUGACAUGUAUCUUCAUCAAGGAAUUCGUAGAGGCUUUGGAUUCAGGGCAAAGAUGAGAAAAUGUGAGAAGAAUUGUACAAUAAUCAGGUACGAUCAAGGAGAAGUUGGAUAUCUUCACAAAGGCCUGGAUUUAAGCAAAGAGCUUUUUUUUUACAAGUUAGUUGCUAAUUUAAACUUCACAGAGUGGUGCGGUUGUUUCUUUCUUUACUGGGUGAUCGAGGAAAGAUGAUUUUUUUCAAGAUACCAUUGGUGAGAAUUUGAUACCGGGUGGCAUUUUCUGACCUUCGUCAAGUUUUUUUUGCUGAAGUUGGCUUCCAAUGUUCAUCUCUGAGAAUUCAUCAGAUAAUAUCCUUAUGCGUAUACACUCUGACUUUGAUAAGGUGAAGGCCACUCUCAGGGAUCGGUGAAGAUGAGGGUCAAGCAGGGUGAUGACCGAAAUAACCAAGGGUGAAGCAAUCAGAAGCCCAACCGAGUUCUAUACUUUUCAAGAGAAAGUAGCCGAGAUAUCCUGCGUUGUAUGUAUUAGUCUUCUUAUUUUCUUGAGGAUUUUUGUCUAGCUGAUUGAUCAGUAUGUCUUUGUUUUAGAAAGGAACAGUCCUGGAUUUAGGAGGAAGCCAAAGAAGCUUGUUUAUAAUUGUGUGCACUUUAACCAAGUGCUCUUUUAUGAAUAUGGCAAGAGAUUGGGGAAACUAUUGGCUGAGUCUUGUGAUUUAUAUUGUAAUUGCUAUCUGUAUAGAGACAAUUUACUUCAAACCGGGGUACAUUAUGCAACUCAAUUCUGGUACUAUUUUCAAAAGUACGUCAUUAUUUGAGUCAAUAUGCCUUAUAAUUCAAAUUAAAGAACUAUAUAGAUCUCUUCAUUUGAAUAUAUGAGGGUCACUAAUUUUAGAUCCUAUACUCGACUUUUAGAUAAAUUCAACUAGUAUUACAUUUUCAACUGAAAUCCUUCAGAUUGCUAUUUAACACAGGUUUUUCGGAGAGAGGGGUUCAAUGGCCCUGAUCGUUCGGCUGCAUUUGUCAUUAGCAGAAUCCAAUGGCAUUGCUUGAAGCAUUUUCCAUUUUGUCACUACAGGCAGGGGCUUUUCUUGGCAUUACCAGGGUCGGUUUUGCAAUGAAAGUAGGAGCAUGACAUUAUGAUAAUGUUUCAUGGAGAAUUGGACCUUUCCAGUGUUUGUUCGAGGAUUAUCUGACUGUGCGCUGCUGCGGACUAAGGGGGAAGAAGGAUGAGGCAAUAUGUGAAGGUUUCUCAAUACUGAUCCAUUUCUGACAAUAAACUGAUAAGGACCCUAAGCUUUGGAAUUACAGACAAUGUCUGAAAUGAUGAUCCGUGCAGUUGCUGAUGAUGAUGUUCGCUUACUGCUAACAAUUUAUCACAAAAUGGAGAAGUUGAAUGAAAAAUCCACAUGGCAUCUCGCAGUGCGUGAAUCCCUCAACAAUAGAUGCUUUCUGCAUAAGUGAUAAUAACAAUGCAGAUUGGCCAUCUCUAUGCCACCUGCCAGAUUUUCAAAGCAAGAGGUGUGAAAUCUGGAGAAUCUGGAAUUUUGUACCUGUAAAUUUUGCUUAUAAAGAGUUGGAGAGUAUGGAGCUUGCUUUGAAGAUUGUGAAAGAGAAAUUGCUGGGUAGAGUUAAUGGAGUCAGUUAUGCUAUAUGUACAUUUUGAAGAUUUGUGUAAUUUUGAAGAUUUGUAACAUUUUGUAAAGUCUGGAGCUUGCCUUGAAUAUAAUAUCAGUUAUAUUAUGUACAUUUUAAAGAUUUGUAACAUUUUUGAAAGCCUGGAGCUUGCCUUGAAUAUAUUAUCAGUUAUGCUAUGUUUUUUGUGAAGAUUUGUAACAUUUUAAAAACUCUAGAGCUUGCCUUGAAUAUAUGAUUAGUUAUGCUAAGUAUAUUUUGAAGAUUUGUGUAAUUUUGGAGUUUGAUUUGUAACAUAUUGUUUCAGAUUGUAAGUUUUUGAAAGUAGAUAAUGAAAGUGUUGUUAGUGCAAUAUCGUUAUUGUUUGUGCAAUUUUGGAGUUUGUAAGACUGGAAUUUUGUGCAAUUUUGUGAGUGCUAUUUUGUGGAAUUUUGUGUAAUUUUAUGAGUGUUAUUUUGUUCUUGUGCAAUUUUGUGAGUGCAACCAAGUGUGAUAAACUGCAGAUCUCUUUGAUUGUAAGUGUAGCGUGAUAAAUUCAAAGUGUAGCGUGAUAACCUGUAAGUGUAGCGUGGUAGACUGUAAGUGUAGCGUGAUAG